rnacentral:rRNA from 1 species
UAAAAAAUUUGGCGGUAUUUUAGUCUAUUCAGAGGAACCUGUUUUGUAAUCGAUAAUCCACGAUGGACCUUACUUAAAUUUGUUUUCAGUUUAUAUACCGUCGUUAUUAGAAUAUUUUAUAAGAAUGUAAUUUUCAAAAUUUUUUAAAAGAAAAUAUAUCAGAUCAAGGUGUAGCUUAUAUUUAAGUAUAAAUGGGUUACAAUAAAUUUAUUUAUACGAAUAUAAAUUUGAAAUAUUUAUUGAAGGUGGAUUUGAUAGUAAAGUUAUAUAGAUUAAUAAUUUGAUUUUAGCUCUAAAAUAUGCACACAUCGCCCGUCACUCUUAUUACUAAGGUAAGAUAAGUCGUAACAUAGUAGAUGUACCGGAAGGUGUACCUAGAAUGCAAUUUAAAGCUUAUUUAGUAAAGCAUUUCAUUUACAUUGAAAAGAUUUUUGUGCAAAUCAAUAUAGAUUGAUUAGAUUUUAUUUAUUAAUUUUUUUUGUUUGUAAUGUAAGUUAUUAAAAAUAAUUAUAUAAUUUUUUGUUUUAGUAUUUUAUAAAGAAAAAAUAAUUUUUAUUAUAGUGUAAUAGUAUUGUGAAAGAAAA